AACGAACGCUGGCGGCAUGCCUAACACAUGCAAGUCGAACGAGACCUUCGGGUCUAGUGGCGAAUGGGUGCGUAACGCGUUGGAACCUGCCCUUAUGUUCUGAAUAACUCCCCGAAAUGGGUGCUAAUACCUGAUAAUGUUUUCGGACCUAAGAUGUAUGGCCUUGGGAUGGGCCCGCGUUCGAUUAGCUAGUUGGUAGGGUAAAAGCCUGCCCAGGAGACGAUGCAUAGCUGGUCGGAGAGGAUGAUCAGCCACACUGGGACUGAGACACGGCCCAGACUCCUACGGGAGGGAGCAGUGGGGAAUAUUGGACAAUGGGCGAAAGCCUGAUGAAGCAAUGCCGCGUGAGUGAUGAAGGCCGUAGGGUUGUAAAGCUCUUUUACCCGGGAUGAUAAUGACAGUACCGGGAGAAUAAGCUCCGGCUAACUCCGUG
rnacentral:rRNA from 1 species